rnacentral:rRNA from 1 species
AGCAGCCGCCACGGUAAUACAGAGGGUGCGAGCGUUAAUCGGAUUUACUGGGCGUAAAGCGUGCGUAGGCGGCUUCUUAAGUCGGAUGUGAAAUCCCUGAGCUUAACUUAGGAAUUGCAUUCGAUACUGGGAAGCUAGAGUAUGGGAUAGGAUGGUAGAAUUCCAGGUGUAGCGGUGAAAUGCGUAGAGAUCUGGAGGAAUACCGAUGGCGAAGGCAGCCAUCUGGCCUAAUACUGACGCUGAGGUACGAAAGCAUGGGGAGCAAACAGGAUUAGAUACCCGUGUAGUCCCUGUCUCUUAUAC